rnacentral:piRNA from 1 species
UUGUACCACAAAAGCGCUUGGUGGUUUC